GGGAAAGUAAAAGCACGCUACUAAAACCGGCCUCCGAAGCCGAAGGUCGCAGGUUCAAUUCCUGCCGGGCGCGCCA
rnacentral:tRNA from 1 species